CCGGCGGAGCGCCGGCCGGCCCCAGGGUCUCCGCGCCGGGCUCAGGCAGCCGGGGCCGCGGGACGCCCCGCGCCUCCACCGCCCCGCGAGGGCCGCGCUGCGUCCGCACGAGCCCGUCGCGCAGAGCGUCCCCGGAGGGGCUGAGCGACGAGGCGGAGGAAGCAGCGCGGCGCCGGCUGCCCCCGCCUUCCUCUCCGGCCGGCGACACACGCCCGCAGGGGCCGCAGCCGCGAGCGGAGGCCGCCGCGCUGGCUCUCGCUUCGGGCCCGUCGCUUAGGCACUCAGCGCCUCGGCUUCCCCGUCUGUGACAGGCGGCCACAGCGCCGCCCGGGGCUGGGAGCUAACCGAGCUGCUCGCCGGGAGGCGCACGCCCCGCGCCGCCGCCGGGGGAGCGGCCGAGACGCCGCGGCUGGGACCCCGCGGUGUCCGCGGUCGCCGGCCAGCGGUCAGCACGCAGUGUCUGUGCAGCCUCUGGGCGAAGCCCCGGCCGUGCAGCCCGGCUGUCCUGGCGCCGCCGUGAGAAGGUGGGGACAGACAGACACAGAGGGAAGACCACGUGAGGACACGCGGAGCAGGCGGCCAUCUGCAACCCAGGAGACGGGCCUCGGAGAAACCAAACCUGCGCCGCCUGGGUCUCGCACUCCGAGCCUCCAGACGGAGGAAACACGCGUGUUUCAGCCCGGCAGUCUGAUACUUCAUGAUGGCCACCCAGCGAAUGACGUCCCUGGCGGCGGGCUCUGCUACGCCUUUUACUUUGCCUCGCGUCCCGCUCUUGCUCGCGGUUCCCCCAUCUCAAGACCCCACAAGGCGCUGCCCUGGCAUCCUGUGCUCAGGCUCCUCUGGGCAAAGAUUCACUGUAGGGAUGUUCUCUGUGCAACUCCUGCCGGGCCUGUCCAUCUGCAGCUGCUCUCAGGCCACCAGGAAAGUUCUGGGCAGCCUCAGGCAGAGCCUAGGCCUGGUUUAGAGUGGAGUUUCCAGAUGCAUGCCACCAUCCACAGCCGCUCCAUCCUAGGGAACUCUGGGCCUGGGAUUGCCAGAUAAAGUACAGAACACCCAGUUAAAUUUGAAUUUCAGAUAAACAACAAAUAAUGUUUCAGUAUAAGUAUAUCCUAAAUAUUGCACAGGCAUCCUUAUACUAAAACAUUAUUUGUUUACCUGAAAUUCAGAUUUUACUGAGCAUCCUGGAUUUUUAUUUGCUACCCUACCAGCGUCGUGGGGAGUCCAGGGCACUCCGCAUAAAGACACUUUGAGAGAAUUUUCCUCCACAUCCUUCAGGAAAUCUGGACCAAAAGCUGGCCAGAGGCAGGAGCACCCCACAUCCCUCAGCCCUGAGCAGAAGCAGGCUUCCCAGGCCCACCUUGUCCUAACCCUGGUACCCACGAUAGCACCAGAGACUGCAAUCUCCAAGUGUCGCCGUGGAGAGCAAACAAGACACCACACGGACAACCUUAACACAGUGCCUGACAGAAAGCAAGUGCUGGAUAAAUGCUAGCGCACUGCUGCGGGAGCCUCUCCACUUCUGUUUACAUCUCCUGCCCCAACACUCUAGCACACACGAGUUCUCCUAACUGAGCCCCAGCAGUGCUCUGAAGGCCUGGAGCUAACGACAAGCUCUGUGAGCUCCAGCUCCUGGAAACUUUCCCAGGAAAAUUUGGGAUGCAGAGAUGUGGGAUAGAAGACAGAUGGCUUUGGCAUUUUGUGGUAUGGGUAGUGAAAGGUCAGUUAGCUCUGUAGGAGAGAGCUCAGUGCCGCAGGGAUCUGGCCCAUGAGAUAGUCUUCCUCACCUCUAUCACCUAACCCUCCCCAGUCCCAGGUUGUACAGAGUUCAUUGACCCCCUCCCCUACCUUCCAUGGACACUGGGCCUGGGCCCCAAACAAAGGAAUGCGUCUGGCCUCGGGGCCAAAGAUGGCCACUUCGGCCUUGACUCUAAGGCACCACUUACAAAAAAAUAUGUCCUGCGUCAUGUUCCUUGUCUAGCCUGGCCACCCGGAAGGGCACCUGACAGGACUUUAGAAACAUCCCAUCCGUAGGAACAAAAAUGGUAAAAGCACCCCAUCCGUGGGAACAAGAAGAAAUAACUCAAAAUAUCCAAAUGUCUAAAACCCUGAGUCAGAACCCAGAGAAACCUUGGGAUGAAAGGGAGUCCCAGGCAUAGGAUAAUUGGAGGUCUCCCUGAGGAAAGGACGCUUUGCCUCAGACCUGGACGAUCAGCACUCUCACCCGCUGUACAAACUAUUGGGACUUCCCUGGCUCAUUGUGGUGUGGAUGUUGUAAGUACCGAUUUGUUGUUCCCCUUUAUCCCCACUCCUUGUUCUGUUUCCCUUUAUCAAUAAACUCUGAUUGCUUAAACAACC
rnacentral:lncRNA from 1 species